rnacentral:sRNA from 1 species
CAUGGGCUGAGGGGGAGGGUAGACGAGUGGCGGAAACCCUUAGACUCAGAGAAGCAUCGAGAACCGGAAGGAGACCUUAGGAGGAAGAAGCCAGGGUGCACUGAUUAGUAGGGAACAUUGGAACCUAACAACCAGACACUCUCAACAUACAGGGAGAACAAUGAAGAAAACUUCAAAGAAACCAAUUGUUGUUGCCCUAAUCUAACAAAGAAGUACACUGAAACUUUACUGCUCUGCAAUAAAGCACAGCAAACUGGGAUGAAUUUGUGGUCAGAAUUCUUCUAUCUAAAAAGAACCAAGUUCAGUACCCAGCAUCUUCAUGGUGGCUCACAAUCAUCUGUAACUCCAGUUCCAGUGGAUCUGAUGCUUUUAGGUCUCCAUGAGCACCAGAUAGGGUUUUUACAAGCCCUGGGCAUCAGUGGAACUAUGUAGACCAGCCUGGUAUCAAAUCACAAAGAUCUGCCUGCCUUUACCUCCCUAUCACUGGGCUAGAAGGUGUGCACUACUAUGCUGGGCUUAACCAAAGGAAGUUGAUCAGAGAAUAUGUCUGUGAGGAAAAAAAAGUUGUUAUUAAGUGAAAAAGUAAGACAAAGCUAAAAACAAAAACAAGGAAAACUCAGAAAAACAUUGAAAGUCUCAAGAUGAUCUAGUGAAUUUGGGAAGCGACAAGUACUUUACCUGUGUGUGCCUAUGUAUACAUUCAUGUACAUUCAUUAUUAAGACUGAAAUAUGUGACUAAAUAUGAGAUCCUUUUCUGAAGUGGAUGUGAUAGAACAAUUUUUUUAAUGCAAAAAGACUUUAUUGGAUUUCAUUCAUAAAAUGAUGCCUAUGAUAGCCAUGUAGAGGAUAUAUGGAAGUGUGUUGGAAGAGUCUUUGAGAAGCCCACACCAUGCUCUCAGGUACAACUCUCUUCUAAGUACCUUUCUUUUAACCUGUAUGUUUACAGUGUUAAAUAUAACCUGAACUUGUAAGCCAAAUAAACCCUUUCUUCUUUAA